CAACAAAGAGUCCCUCCCGACUGUUUACCAAAAACACAGCACUCUGCUAACUCGUAAGAGGAUGUAUAGGGUGUGACGCCUGCCCGGUGCUCGAAGGUUAAUUGAUGGGGUUAGCAUUAGCGAAGCUCUUGAUCGAAGCCCGAGUAAACGGCGGCCGUAACUAUAACGGUCCUAAGGUAGCGAAAUUCCUUGUCGGUUAAAUACCGACCUGCAUGAAUGGCGUAACGAGAUGGGAGCUGUCUCAAAGAGGGAUCCAGUGAAAUUGUAGUGGAGGUGAAAAUUCC
rnacentral:rRNA from 1 species